UACGUAGGGCGCAAGCGUUGUCCGGAUUUAUUGGGCGUAAAGAGCUCGUAGGCGGUUUGUCGCGUCUUCCGUGAAAACUGGGGGCUUAACUUCCAGCUUGCGGUGGAUACGGGCUGACUGGAGUGCGGCAGGGGAGACUGGAAUUCCUGGUGUAGCGGUGAAAUGCGCAGAUAUCAGGAGGAACACCAGUGGCGAAGGCGACUACCUGGCCUGUUUCUUGACGCUGAGGCGCGAAAGCUAGGGGAGCAAACGGG
rnacentral:rRNA from 1 species